rnacentral:rRNA from 1 species
GAAUUUUGGACAAUGGGCGCAAGCCUGAUCCAGCAAUGCCGCGUGCAGGAUGAAGGCCUUCGGGUUGUAAACUGCUUUUGUACGGAACGAAACGGUUCUUUCUAAUACAGAGAGCUAAUGACGGUACCGUAAGAAUAAGCACCGGCUAACUACGUGCCAGCAGCCGCGGUAAUACGUAGGGUGCGAGCGUUAAUCGGAAUUACUGGGCGUAAAGCGUGCGCAGGCGGUGAUGCAAGACAGAUGUGAAAUCCCCGGGCUUAACCUGGGAACUGCAUUUGUGACUGCAUCGCUGGAGUGCGGCAGAGGGGGAUGGAAUUCCGCGUGUAGCAGUAAAAUGCGUAGAUAUGCGGAGGAACACCGAUGGCGAAGGCAAUCCCCUGGGCCUGCACUGACGCUCAUGCACGAAAGCGUGGGGAGCAAACAGG